CGCUUGCUCUCUGCUGUGGAACUUGACUCACAUCUGUGCUUUGCCUGUGUGCAGAAGAAGAACAAGGACCAGAUCUCCAGUCUUCUCUCUCACAUCCCAACCCCCCAACCCCUCUAUCCUCUGUCCUGCUCCACCUGUUGUCUCUGCCUUCUUUCCAUCUGUAUUUCACCCUGUGGUUUGUGAGAAAUUUUGCCAAACCAAGAAUCUUAUUGCGGUUUGAUUUCAAAGCCGCGUCUCUAAUUUUAGAGUUCGAAGGAACUCUAAUUCACGGUUUAAUUGGGAUUUCCCAGCCGUGUCUUUCCUGCUCUGUCUGUUCUCUCUGCUAAAUUUUCUCUCUACCUGUUUUUCACUCCUGGCUUGCUGCUGAAUAAUGGCAAGCCAAUAAAGCAAUAAAGAGUGCAUAUUUUGCCUCAACCUGAGAACAAACUGAACAAACAAAGAAAACUAUAAUUCACGGUUUGAUUGUGAUUUCCAAGCCGUGUCUCUCCUGCUCUGCCUGUUCUCUCUUCUAAAUUUUCUCUCUACCUGUUUUUCACUCUUGGCUUGCUGCUGAAAAAUGCCAAGCCAUUAAAGCAAUAAAGAGUGCAUAUAUUGCCUCUACCUGAGAACAAACUGAACAAACAAAGAAAACUCUAAUUCACGGUUUGAUUGUGAUUUCCCAGCCGUGUCUCUUCUGCUCUGCCUGUUCUCUCUUCUAGAUUUUCUCUCUACCUGUUUUUCACUUUGCGCUUGCUGCUAAGUUGUGCCAAGCCAAUAAAGAGAGCGCAUAAUAUUCUCUCGACUGAAGAACAAACUGUCAAACAAACACAACUGUUUCUGAGAAAUAAAAACUGAAAUAU